rnacentral:rRNA from 1 species
GAUGAACGCUGGCGGCGUGCCUAAUACAUGCAAGUCGAGCGAACGGACGAGAAGCUUGCUUCUCUGAUGUUAGCGGCGGACGGGUGAGUAACACGUGGAUAACCUACCUAUAAGACUUGGAUAACUUCGGGAAACCGUAGCUAAUACCGGAUAAUAUUUUGAACCGCAUGGUUCAAAAGUGAAAGACGGUCUUGCUGUCACUUAUAGAUGGAUCCGCGCUGCAUUAGCUAGUUGGUAAGGUAACGGCUUACCAAGGCAACGAUGCAUAGCCGACCUGAGAGGGUGAUCGGCCACACUGGAACUGAGACACGGUCCAGACUCCUACGGGAGGCAGCAGUAGGGAAUCUUCCGCAAUGGGCGAAAGCCUGACGGAGCAACGCCGCUUGAGUGAUGAAGGUCUUCGGAUCGUAAAACUCUGUUAUUAGGGAAGAACAUAUGUGUAAGUAACUGUGCACAUCUUGACGGUACCUAAUCAGAAAGCCACGGCUAACUACGUG